UCCUGUCUUGCUGGUCGUUCUUUGUGUCCCUUGCCCCAUUCUUUUUUAUUUUUCAAUUCUCUCCUCCAGGUCGUCGACCUCCGUUGAUAGUCCUGCAGGUCGGGACAAUUGGCGCCGAACGUGGGGUGUUGCCUGAACUACUAGGGAGGGGCAGCACACACACCCCAGAGACCAUCCAAGAGAAUGGCUGCUGGUGAUAGUGGGGAUGAAGUCACACGUGAACAGAUCCCCACCGGCAGAGGAGGGUCUCUCCUGCUCCUUCGUCCCCCAGAGAGAGUUCAGAGCCCGUCUGCAUCACUGCAGUUGUCAGCAGCCAUUUCUCUCUGCUGACAACCAGGACUGGAGGACUCUGCACCACGUGCUUGUUUGAGCCACUCGCCACUGCUGAGACACUGAAGACGGACGGGUUCCUGGGUCAUUUUCAGAAUUUACAUUUCCUUUCUAGAGUAUUUACAGGAAUCCUGAGGAGAACCAGGUGAACCUCUUUUCCCUCUGCAGACUUGUGAUGGACCUUUCCAGAAGCACCUGGACCUACAGUAUCAGCAUCUAAGACAAAUUGUGAACAGAUAAAAAUAUUAAUGAGAAAUAUAUUUUUUGCAACCUUCUUCAAAACGACGCCUAGUGGAGAAAAGCAUAUGAAUCAAUAUCUUCACAGGUAAAUGCCCUGGAGGUAAAGGACUGAAAGAAGAUCAUCUAACGCAACCCAGAGACCAGCCCUUCUCCGAGUGCCUGAGGGCAGAGUAGCUGGGCUAUUUGAAGUUUCUGCCCCAGAGAGGAAGUACUACUGUUCAUAAGUCGGAUGUUACACUGCUCUGCUCAGAGACUGGCACAUCUACCCCAGCCCAGGCCUUGGUUUGCCUUGAUGUUUUUUCCAUGGCAAUACAUCUGAAAAAUGACUAUUAGAUCUAGCAAGGGACUCCAGCUGUCUAGUUAUGCAUAUGCAAAAGAUGAAGUUGAAUCUCUACCGCCAAAAUUCACCUGAAAUGGAUCAAUGACCUCAAUGUACAAACUGAAAAGAUAAAACUCUCAGAAGAAAACAUAGAUGUAAAUUUUCAUGACCUUGGAUUAGACAAUGAUUUUUAAAGUAUGACCUCAAAACACAAAGCAGUUGAAGAAAAAAUAAAUUAAACUUUUUCAAAAUUAAAAAUAUUCUUGCUUCAAAAGAUGCUAUAGAGACAGUGAAAAAUACAAACCACAGAAGGAAACAACUAUUUGCAAAUCAUAUGUCUGUUAAGGGUCGUGUAUCCAGAAUAUAAAGAUCCCUUGCACUCAAUAAUAAAAAGAAAAUAACUUCAGGGAAAUUUUAAUUUUAACAAAGACUCAACUACGCUGCUGGUGAUAGGGGGAUGAAGCCAAUGGGUCACAAGUACGUGGGACAGCGUGGAGCGGAGCUGGCUCCUGAAGUCCAAGGAGCAGGCCCUUGGAACCUGUGAUCUGUAGCUAGGUGGUCAGAAGCACAGUGACAAGCUUCAGUGGAAGAAAGAGAGGUUACUAUUAAUUUUCAGACAGGAGUACAGGCACAGAGUGACGUCCUCCAGAAGACGGGCCCUUCCCCAGGCUUCUGCCUGCACCUGUGUGAGGGAGCUCAGCCUCUGAGGGCCUGCGUGAGGGCAGCACCCUGCUCCCCUGGGACGAUCAAAGACUGAGGACUGCGCUCCACCCCUUGGUUCUCACACCUGGUGAGAAAGAUGACUGGAGACAUAGAAGCUCUCAUGGGCCCAGAGUCUCACAAAGGAAGGGUGAUUUUCUCCCCUCCUACCUUCCUCCAAACAUAAACAUCAUCAUUUAAUCACAGAACAUUUCCCACACUUUCUUAAGUCUGGUUCUCAAAAGGGCCUUCCCAGGACAGAAGUUGACCCCAUUCCUGCCCCCGGGGUGCUGCCACCUUGCAAGCCUCUCCUGGACUGAGCCCUGUUCUCACAGGCCAGCUGCCAGGGCUGAGUGCCCAAGGGCACGCUCAGGAGGGUCUGCAUCCCUCUGCUCCCAGCAAACCCAGAGGUCCAGGGAUGCCUCUGAAUGAGCUUCCUCAGCGGGAGGCACUUUGAGCCCAGAGGGGGGCCUGUUGUGGUGGUUUCCAGAACAACACACGUUUGGGGGACAACCUAUCAGGCAGACAAGACCUUCACUGUUUACACCCAAUUGUGUGCAUCUCUUUAGAAUACUUUUAAACAGUGCUCCCCUGUGGCCAGGCUGAGAAAGGUUGAGUAAAAUGUGGAUUUGGGCUUUUCUUGACUAAGCUUACAUCCAAGACAUAUCUUUUUUUGCUAUAAUGAAAAGCCUGUCAAUAUACUCUAAUAAAAUACAUGUCUCUACCAAUAUAUUUCUUACAGUGAGAAUUACCUCAACAUUAAAGGAAAAAACAAGGGAAAAUGUAUGUACACCUGUAUGUGAAUAUAACUAUCUAUAUCCAUCUAUGCAUAUAUGAAAAAAGAAUACUAUUUCAAUGCUAUAACAUUGCAUUUAUUUCAUUAGUGAAAUAGUAUCUCAUGAGUCUAACAUGGCAUUGGCUUGUUUAGAUCCCCUUCAGUGCUCCUCAAUGCCUUGAAGGGAAAGUUUAGCAUUUUUCAAAGGCUUAUUAAGAUUUUUACUAUGUGGUUUAUGCUCAUUGCUUUAGGUUUAUAUUUACUAUUACCCAUUUUGAGUUGAGCGCUCCAGCCAAUCUGCACCACUUGAAUGUCAUUCUCCUAAAUGAAACUUCUCUGUAUACCUUUGCACAUAUUCCGUUUCUCCUUUUCUAUAAUACUAUUUCCCUGACUCCAUUUCUGACUUGCUUUUAUAAAUCUUAACUAAGAUAUCAUCCCUCUUAGACUGUCUCCCUUGUAUUCAGCUUCCGAUGUAGAUGCCUCUGUUAGGAGGUCAUAUUUUACUUUUGUCCUGGGAUGGCUUGGAUCACACUAUUUGGUAAUAUAGCCCACAACACUACAUGCUCCUGAAGGGAGACCUGAUGUUGACUUCUUUCUCAUUGCACUGGACACUAAGACACACUUUAGGUGUCAAAGAAUGAAGUAUUAGAGUAAUCUCAAGUCAAUACAGGACAUAUUUGGGAACUGCAUAAAGAUUGUCAAAGCUCAUUUGUAAAAUUGAGAUUAUGUCUACUUUGCAAUAUUGGUUUGAAUUUUAUAUAUAUAUAAUUUUAUUUAUCCCACAACCUUGGCUUUCAGUCCUGAAAUUUACUGUGAUCUCUAUUGCCUUGCAUAUGGUGUUCCAACUUCUAAAGUUUACUUUCCAAACCUUUUCUUUCAAACUGGUAAAUCCUUACAACCAGGUCUUGGCUUAGGCUUCAGACUUUGGGGUUUCCUGACUCACUGUCAUAGCUGGGGGAUGGUUGUAUGCCUUCAUGUCACCCCCUGCUUUCCUAGGCUUAGUCCUUGUCUCGGUUUUCUCACCCUGGUCAGUUACCUAUAUAAAAAACUACAUGAAAAUGCAUGAGAAAAUAGGCUACAUAUUUUCUUGUACCUCUUUUUUUCAGCCAUGUAACUGUAUGUAGAAUGUUCUAGGCACUCAGUGAAUAACUCUCAUAUGACUGAGUGACUAAAACCUGAGGACAGUGUUAUGUAAAAAUUACUGGUCUUGCAUUAUGCAUGAAAUCUUGAGAGAUGUUGAGAAGUUGAUCACCUGUUCAAGAAGGCAGCACACUCAUGGCUCGGGCAGCUGUAGAAAGUAGCUCUUCACCAAUGCUGCUUCACAACAUACUGACAAGAAAAGGGCACAGAUUGCUACUUGUAGGGGUGGUGGAAAUGGGGGGUGAUGCAGUAUGAAGAGCUUGGACAACAAUAACAAGGAUGAGACUGCAUGUAGCUUUCCUUUUCGUGGCAUGACCUUUUGUGUAGCCUUAGAAAUGUAGAGAAAGCAUCCAUAUAUUCUUAUAUUAUAGUCUCCCUUCCUACAGGGCCAUGAAAUGGGGAAACUAUUUUGGCAAUUAGAGUGAGCAAUAUCCAUUAUAGUGGGACUAUAUACCUGGCUUUGAAUAAUUUAUAAAUCAUGUGAAAUAUAUCUGAAGAUAAGAAAGGCUAUUUGAUUUAUUGACUUGUGGUGUUAGAAACAGGUUUUGUUAAGAACAGGGGAUGUACAAUAACUACACUGAUUACUCAUCCGUGUCUCACAUUUUUUGACAUUGAAAUGAAGCGAUUCAUCAAGGCUGCAUUCUCAACUCCCAUAGAGGACAGCAACAGCUCUCAGCUGCCUCUGCCUUUUGCCGGGUGGAGUGGCUGCAGCUCUGAAUUUGGAAAUAGGCUCUGGAUGCCCGUGAGCCAGGAGUGUCUACAGAGCAGUUACAUGUCUGAGCCUUGGGAAUGAAAGCCUCAUUUGUGCACAGAACCAACCUAUCCUUGCAUGGAAAGGAGGAGUCCCCACAGAAAACCAUCAGGAGCAGAAAGCAAGGAAAUGAAACCGUCCAAUCAUCUCAUCUCCCAGCUUUGCAGUGUUCCAAGGAGAUUUUCUACCACAUUCAAACCUCACCCACGACUCACAGUCUGGCUGAAGCCACAGGAUCAACAGUGAUGCCCCCAGGAGCUGGUCCAUCUCUCCUGUGAGGAAGCAGGAGGCAUUUCUCCAGUCCCCACAAACAUCAGCCUGUCUUUGCCUCCCUGCACUUCACUCACUUCCUGUCACACAGCCUUCUGUUUCACCUCUUGCCCUGCCCUAUUUUUAGCUGGUUAGGCAUCUUUAUUGGAGGAAACACUGCCCCCUUUAGUCCACAUGUGGAAAUUUUCUUAAAAUGGAUUACUGCAUUUCUCAAACAUCAAUUUGCAAUAAUCUCUUCCCUACAAAAAGUUGUAAGAGAUUGUAGGAGAAACAAAGGUUUUCAGAGAUCACAUUACUCGUUCUAUUUUUUUACAAGUUGAAAACGAUAACUGAGAAUAUAGAGUAUUAUGUAAGAUCCAAGGAUUGACACUUUGUCAACUGGUAUGCUUAGGCAGACACCUUAUUUAAAAAUAUGCAUGAGUUGGUCUAUUCGUGGAGCAAAUAAUGGUAUGACUUUUUGUUUAAUAGAAUGGUCACAUAUUUAGAACACAGGCAUUUUGGUAAUUCUGCCUUUAAUAAAAUUUCAUUUUA